rnacentral:lncRNA from 1 species
UUUUUUUUUUUUUUUGAGACGGAGUCUCUCUCUGUCGCCCAGGCUGGAGUGCAGUGGCCGGAUCUCAGCUCACUGCAAGCUCCGCCUCCCGGGUUUACGCCAUUCUCCUGCCUCAGCCUCCCGAGUAGCUGGGACUACAGGCGCCCGCCAUCUUGCCCGGCUAGUUUUUUGUAUUUUUUAGUAGAGGCAGGGUUUCACUGUGUUAGCCAGGAUGGUCUCGGUCUCCUGACCUCGUGAUCCACCCAUCUCGGCCUCCCAAAGUGCUAGGAUUACAGGCUUGAGCCACCGCGCCCGGCCAAGAUGGUUAUUCAUUUCUAAACCUAGCUAAUAGGCAGGGGAGAACUGUUCUAUAUAAACCCAGUUACUUGGAGAGAUGUUGACUCUCAUACCUGGGCUUAAUUUCACAGGUACAGUCAUUGCUCCAUACCAGCAUAAAGGUCUCAGAGUGGAAUGCCACUUUAAUGUAUAUCAUAUAAAUUCAUCAAGUGGUACAGAGAUUGUGCUAACAAGACCCAGCACACAGGUGAAAUUGUGACACACAUAGUCACAUGCAGAUGACAGUAAAAACUGUUGUCCUUCCACAUGACAGCCCUCAGUUGAGGUUCUAAACCUCACACCCAGAAGAACUCACAAGUUGAAUAUUUGACUCUCACACAUGGAUUCUGUCCACAGGUGUGUUGAUGACUCUUAAGACCAAGAUAAACACACUUUAGAGGCUGCGACUCCACCAAGGGGACACAGUUUGCAGGAGGAAUUGAGUCUCCCAUGCAAGGGUCCAGUCCACGAUUGAGACUGUGACUCACAUACUUUUACCUGACAUACAGAUGUUGACUUCAUACCUAAAUCCAGGACAUUUGGGAGACUGUUAAUCAUAUCUGUGGACUUUCUUGCAGGUGUAAUUGUGGCAUAAGAUUCUGCCCAGUACCCGGGUGAUUUCACUCUCCUGCUUGACCCAAGCCCGGAGAUGUGAUUGUCACAUAUCACUGGACCCAGCAGCUAGGUGAUGAAAUUAUAUUUUUCUGCCUUGGUGCUGUCUGCAGUGGGGCUUUGUGAUGUGUCACUGAACCCAGUAUCCAGGCUUUGAGACUCUUCUGCCUGUGCCCUGCCCAGAUAUGCCAUUGUGGUAUAUUGCUGCAUCCAACACUAUGGUCAUGUAACUCUCUUGCCUGGGCUCUGCCUACAGAGGGAAUUGUGACAUAUCUCUGCACCUAUUACUCAGGUGAUGUAAGUCUUUUCCUGCAUGGUCUCUGUUCACCAGGGGGAUUUUGACUGACUCAUAGGCCCAGCACCUAGCUGAUAUGACUAUUCUUUUUAGGUUCUGCCUGUAGGGGAGAUUGUGACAUAUCACUGGGCUCAACAUCAAGGUGAUGUUUUUCUUCGGCUUUGACCCUGCCCUUGAAAGGCAUUGUGAUGUAUUGCUGAGCCCAGC